GAUGAACGCUGGCGGCGUGCCUAAUACAUGCAAGUCGAGCGAACGGACGAUAAGCUUGUUUCUUUGAUGUUAGCGGCGGACGGGUGAGUAACACGUGGAUAACCCACUUAUAUGACUGGGAUAACCUCGGGAAACCGGAGCUAAUACCGGAUAAUAUUUUGAACCGCAUGGUUCAAAAGUGAAAGACGGUCUUGCUGUCACUUAUAGAUGGAUCCGCGCUGCAUUAGCUAGUUGGUAGGGUAACGGCCUACCAAGGCAACGAUGCAUAGCCGAGCUGAGAGGGUGAUCGGCCACAUGGGAGGUGAGACACGGACCAGACUCCUAAGGGAGGGAGCAGAAGGGAAUCGUCGGCAAUGGGCGGAAGCCUGACGGAGCAGCGGCGCGUGAGUGAUGAAAGUCUUCGGAGCGUAAAACUCGGUUAUUGGGUAAGAACAUAUGUGGAAGUAACUGUGGACAGAUUGACGGUAACUAAUCAGAAAGCAACGGCUAACUACGUG
rnacentral:rRNA from 1 species